GUGGGGAAUAUUGGGCAAUGGGCGAAAGCCUGACCCAGCAAUGCCGUGUGAGCGAUGAAGUCCUUCGGGAUGUAAAGCUCUUUUAUGAGGGAAGAAACGCAUGGAGGUGAAUAGCCUCCAUUGUCUGACGGUACCUCAUGAAUAAGCCCCGGCUAACUCCGUGCCAGCAGCCGCGGUAAUACGGAGGGGGCGAGCGUUGUUCGGAAUCACUGGGCGUAAAGGGCGCGUAGGCGGCCUUGAAGGUCAGAUGUGAAAUCCCUGAGCUUAACUCAGGAACUGCGUUUGAAACCUCAAGGCUUGAGGCCGGGAGAGGAAAGUGGAAUUCCUGGUGUAGCGGUGAAAUGCGUAGAUAUCAGGAGGAACACCGGUGGCGAAGGCGGCUUUCUGGACCGGUUCUGACGCUGAAGCGCGAAAGCGUGGGGAGCAAACGGGAUUAGAAACCCUUGUAGUCC
rnacentral:rRNA from 1 species